AUACGGAGGUGGCGAAUGUUGCUCGGAAUUACUGGGCGUAAAGGGCGCGCAGGCGGAUGAUCAAGUCAAGAGUGAAAUCUCCAUGCUUAACGUGGAGCUUGCUUUUGAAACUGGUCGUCUGGAGUCAUGUAGGGGAUGACGGAACACCUGGAGUAGCGGUGAAAUGCGUAGAUAUCAGGUGGAACACCGAUGGCGAAGGCUGUCAUCUGGACAAGGACUGACGCUGAGGCGCGAAAGCCGGGGGAGCAAACAGGAUUAGAUACCCUGGUAGUCCCGGACCUAAACGAUGAGUGCUAGGUGUAUGCGCGCGAGCGUAGGUGCCGCAGUUAACGCAUUAAGCACUCCGCCUGGGGAGUACGGUCGCAAGGCUGAA
rnacentral:rRNA from 1 species